UAGCUAGUUGGUGAGGUAAAGGCUUACCAAGGCGACGAUCUGUAGCGGGUCUGAGAGGAUGAUCCGCCACACUGGAACUGAGACACGGUCCAGACUCCUACGGGAGGCAGCAGUGGGGAAUUUUGGACAAUGGGGGCAACCCUGAUCCAGCCAUGCCGCGUGAGUGAAGAAGGCCUUCGGGUUGUAAAGCUCUUUCGGCCGGGAAGAAAUCGCAUGGGCCAAUACCCUGUGUGGAUGACGGUACCGGAAUAAGAAGCACCGGCUAACUACGUGCCAGCAGCCGCGGUAAUACGUAGGGUGCGAGCGUUAAUCGGAAUUACUGGGCGUAAAGCGUGCGCAGGCGGUUUUGUAAGACAGGCGUGAAAUCCCCGGGCUUAACCUGGGAACUGCGUUUGUGACUGCAAGGCUAGAGUACGGCAGAGGGGGGUGGAAUUCCACGUGUAGCAGUGAAAUGCGUAGAGAUGUGGAGGAACACCAAUGGCGAAGGCAGCCCCCUGGGUCGAUACUGACGCUCAUGCACGAAAGCGUGGGUAGCAAACAGGAUUAGAUACCCUGGUAGUCCACGCCCUAAACUAUGUCAACUAGGUGUUGGGUGGGUAAAACCAUUUAGUACCGUAGCUAACGCGUGAAGUUGACCGCCUGGGGAGUACGGCCGCAAGGUUAAAACUCAAAGGAAUUGACGGGGACCCGCACAAGCGGUGGAUGAUGUGGAUUAAUUCGAUGCAACGCGAAAAACCUUACCUACCCUUGACAUGCCAGGAACUUGCCAGAGAUGGCUUGGUGCCCGAAAGGGAGCCUGGACACAGGUGCUGCAUGCUGUCGUCACUCGUGUCGUGAGAUGUUGGGUUAAGUCCCGCAACGAGCGCAACCCUUGUCGUUAAUUGCCAUCAUUUAGUUGGGCACUUUAACGAGACUGCCGGUGACAAACCGGAGGAAGGUGGGGAUGACGUCAAGUCCUCAUGGCCCUUAUGGGUAGGGCUUCACACGUCAUACAAUGGUCGGUACAAAGGGUUGCCAAGCCGCGAGGCGGAGCCAAUCCCAGAAAGCCGAUCGUAGUCCGGAUUGCAGGCUGCAACUCGCCUGCAUGAAGUCGGAAUCGCUAGUAAUCGUGGAUCAGCAUGUCACGGUGAAUACGUUCCCGGGUCUUGUACACACCGCCCGUCACACCAUGGGAGCGGGUUCCGCCAGAAGUAGGUAGCCUAACCGCAAGGGGGGCGCUUACCACGGCGGGGUUCGUGACUGGGGUGAAGUCGUAACAAGGUAGCCGUAGGGGAACCUGCGGCUG
rnacentral:rRNA from 1 species